rnacentral:tRNA from 1 species
GCGCGAGUGGCGGAAUUGGCAGACGCGCACGGUUCAGGUCCGUGUGUCCGUAAGGGCUUGGGGGUUCAAGUCCCCCCUCGCGCACCA